AUGGGAAUGAGCCGGAGCAGGCGACGACACGGCAUGCCGCGUCGUUGCAUGCAGAGGCGAGUCCGUCACAUCCAUGACCCCACUAUCUAUCUUAGGGUUUUAGGGUUUAGGGUUGUUCUAGUGUUUGGAGUUGCAUUCAUCAAGGUGGUUGUGUUGUCAUGGCUUCAAAACCUUCUCCAGGUAUUGUUUACUGCUUUGUUAGUUGGUGAUGAGUUGAAUAGUUCUGAAAAGAAUGCCUGCGAUCAAGAUGGAGCUUCAGAAGUUAAUACUGAUGCUCCAAUAUCUGAUGCGGCUAAAUCACCCAUAAUCCCUUUGACUGUGAUUGCUGAGGUUGCUUCGAGCCUUGAGAAUUUUUCAAGCCUCGAGGAUCUUUCUUCUGCAGCUCUUGCUUCACCUAAUGUGUCCACAGAGGAGGAAGCUGUGAACACCAUCAACGAUGUUCUAUCUGAGUUGGAUUUAUCAGAAAACCCUGCUGCUACUAAGCAGGGGGCUCCGUUAGUCAAAGGUUGUGAUUCUCUUCUUUUGGAGGACCAACGUAAGAGGAAGAAGCAAGAAGAUUUUGACAAGAAGAGGGCGGCCCGCCUUCAGAAAGGUUCUGAUGUUCCUGGAUCUGUUCAUGCGGCUGAGCUCACGGUUAAGGAAGACGUGCCAUGUGGCAGUGAUGGCACGGUUGUCCCUGUUAAGAAGAAAAUCAAGAAGACCGCUGCGAGGAAGCAUGUAGUUGGUGAAGUUACUCCUCGGAGGAGCCCAUGUGUUUCAAGUCCUGCAAAAGUUGCUGAAGAUGAAGGGCUAGGCCUCGGUGGUACGCCACGCCGUAGUCCUCAUGUGCUUGCCACUGCCGUGCCUACACCUUGUCCGCUUGGUGCUUGUGCAUCUGGUAAGGGGAAGAAAUGCGGCGUCAAGCGCAAGGUUCCACCUGCAAAGGUCAACAAGGGUGAGAAGAAGCGUUCUCGUGUUAAUCCAGAAGACAAGGAUGAUGCUGAUUUCAACGCUGAUGACGAGGACGACGAUGAUGAUGAUGCUGCCGCUAGUCAGUAUCAGCUUGUGGAGCGGCCUGGGAGGAGGAAGAGAGGAGGCAAAGCACCCGAAGAAGGUGGCCAAGGAGGAGGUGAGGCGAAAUGUUUUAACAAGACGGUUCGCUGCUCACUAGGAGAGGUCAAGAUGUGUGCGAAAAUGCUACAAUCUAGGCACAAGACGAGGGUUAUCAAGGCUGGUUUUGGUUGUGUGUUUGACUUGAAGGUUGAUUCCAACAUUUCUCGUCCUUUGAUGGGCAACAUCUACACGAGGAUUGACCCUACAACCAUGAUUCUGGACAUGGGUGAGGCGAACAAGGUUCUUCGUCUUACAAGUGAUGCUAUUCACCAUCUGUUUGGAUUCCCUCAAGGUAAUCGUACCCCUCCUAGGCCCUCGAAUGAUGGUUUCGAUGAUGCUAUUAUGAGGUUGAAGGGCAAGCUUGGGUAUGCUAGGAGUGACGACAUCAAGACAAAGGAUUUACGGAAUAUCCUCGCGGAACUUGUGAAGGAUGAGAUGAAGGAUGAUCUUGCUCUGCAGGUGUUUUACCUUAUUGUUUUCAUGAAGGUGGUUAUCCCUGUAACGUCUACACGAGUGUCCAGGGAGGCAGCAAUGGCCGAGAAUCUUGUGUUUGAGGAUAUGGCAGACAUGGACUACUGCCAGUUGGUUAGGAGCAACUCUAUGGAGAGGAUGCAGCAGCGAAUUAGGCAGAUCGCCGGCGGCGACCAGGCAAAGUUAGCCAGGUUGAAGGAGAUCCUUAGUUGGUUUGAUAAUGAAUGGGAGAUUUCGAGGACGGUGCGGGCCAUGUGGCAAUGUAUGCGAAAGAGCGAGACGGCGGCGAUGAGGGCGGCGAUGUACAUGUACUCCUCGGCGGCAGUCACGCCGCAGUCCUCCGAGUUCAUCGAGUAUCUCCUCUGGGCGAUGGAGCAGACAGAUUCGCCCGAGGCGACAGUUAGGCGGAGGUGGUGGGCGUACAGGUCGAAGGUCGAGCACCCAGAGGAUAACGAAUCGAUCGAGUAUGGUGUGCCGUUCGUGAGGGUGCAGAGCCAGCCGGAGCCACAUGAGUAUUCGUUCUCCCACCGCAAGAGGAGGCCGGAUGGCGCGACGUUGCUUCCCCGCCGUUCUCCACGGUUCCCUCGACGCUCGCCUCGUUUCAACGGCGGCGGUAGGGUUUAA
rnacentral:rRNA from 1 species